rnacentral:rRNA from 1 species
UACAGAGGGUGCGAGCGUUGUUCGGAAUUAUUGGGCGUAAAGGGCGCGUAGGCGGUGCCACAAGUCACUUGUGAAAUCCCCGGGCUUAACCUGGGAACUGCGCUUGUAACUGGCAAGCUAGAGUGUGGCAGAGGGGGGUGGAAUUCCACGUGUAGCAGUGAAAUGCGUAGAGAUGUGGAGGAACACCGAUGGCGAAGGCAGCCCCCUGGGCUAACACUGACGCUCAUGCACGAAAGCGUGGGGAGCAAACAGG